GAGAGUUUGAUCCUGGCUCAGGAUGAACGCUGGCGGCGUGCCUUAAGCAUGCAAGUCGAACGAUUCUAGUAGCAAUACUAAUUUAGUGGCAGACGGGUGAGGAAUAUACAGGAAUCUACCUCUUGGUGGGGGAUAGCUCGCCGAAAGGCGGGGUAAUACCCCAUGAGGUCUACGGAUCAAAGACCUUAACUGGUCGCCGGGAGAGGAGCCUGUAUCCUAUCAGCUAGUUGGUGAGGUAAUGGCUCACCAAGGCUACGACGGGUAGGGGGCGUGAGAGCGUGGCCCCCCACAAGGACACUGAGACACGGGUCCUACACCUACGGGUGGCAGCAACUGGGAAUCUUGCGCAAUGGACGAAAGUCUGACGCAGCGACGCCGCGUGUGGGAAGAAGGCCUUCGGGUCGUAAACCACUGUGGUAUGGGAAUAAACAAAUGAAGGUACCAUACUAGAAAGCACCUGCUAACUACGUGCCAGAAGCCUCGGUAAUACGUAGGGUGCAAGCGUUAUCCGGAUUUACUGGGCGUAAAGCGUUCUGUAGGCGGUUUUGUAAGUAUGUGGUUAAAGGCUUCGGCUCAACCGAAGACAUGCUAUAUAAACUACAUGACUAGAGGGUUGUCGAAAGUAUCGGAAUUCUCGGUGGAGGGGUAAAAUCCGUUGAUAUCGAGAGGAACACCAAAGGCGAAGGCAGAUACUUAGGCAAUUUCUGACGCUGAUAGACGACAGCUAGGGGAGCGAAAGGGAUUAGAGACCCCUGUAGUCCUAGCCGUAAACGAUGGAUGCUAGCUGGUUGGGUUUACCUGACCGGCGCAAGCUAACGCGUUAAGCAUCCCGCCUGGGAAGUACGGCCGCAAGGCUAAAACUCAAAGGAAUUGACGGGGGAGCGCACAACCGGUGGAGCAUGUGGUUUAAUUCGAUACAAAGCGAAAGACCUCACCCAGGUUUGACAUAUAUCUGCAAAUCCCGUGAAAGCGGGACUUCUUCGAGAGUGAUAUACAGCUGUUGCAUGGCUGUCGUCAGUUCGUGUCGUGAGACGUUUCUUUAAGUAGAAUAACGAACGCAACCCCUAUCGUGUGUUGAAUAAUCACGCGAGACUGCUCUUGAUCGUAUCAAGGGAGGAAGGAGGGGACGACGUCAAGUCAGCAUGACGCUUACGCCUGGGGCCACACACAUCCUACAAUGGAAAGUAACAAUGGGUUGCCAACCCGCAAGGGGGAGCCAAUCCCGUAAACCUUUCCUCAGUUCAGAUUGGAGGCUGCAACUCGCCUCCAUGAAGUCGGAAUCGGUAGUAAUCGCGGAUCAGCAGGCCGCGGUGAAUACGUUCUCGCUCCUUGUACACACCGCCCGUCAAGUGAGCAAAGUUGGCAGUACCUGAAGUCGGAAAUCCUAACCCGCAAGGGAUGGACCCGCCAAAGGUAAGGUCAGCGAUGAGCGCUAAGUCGUAACAAGGUAUCCGUUCUGGAAGGAGCGGAUGGAUCACCUCCUUUCUA
rnacentral:rRNA from 2 species